CACACUCCCUCCUCCUUUCCUCGUCCGCCGCUGCACUCCUUCUCCUCUCCCAACCUGGCGACUCCCCUCCCCGUCCUCCCUCUCUCCUCCGCCGCCGGAAGCCACCAGGUUCGACGGCCGGGGCGCAUGCGCCACAUCGACCGGGGCGCCGCACCAGUCCACCGCCGCCACACCCUCCCUCCUCCUCCUCCCUCAUCACCACCACACUCUCUGCCAUAGGACCGCGCGCUCGUCCUGUCGCCCCUGCCAAGGUGUCGCGGCGCUCUUCCUGGGCCCUCGCGUCCGGUCUCACCUGGUCCUCAAUGCCAGCCUCAUCGGCUUGCCGAGCUGGCACAGCGGCACCCGCUCUCGACGCCGUCCUUGCGACUCGACCGUGGCAAACCCGAAGGCCAUAGGUGGCUCAUGUGGUGGUGCAGCGGACGACAGCCUCAUCGGGUGGGCGACGGCGACCGCAGCUGGUGCACGAGCUCACACCCCAAUGCUUUUGUGCUCGAGUAGCUUGCAUCUUCACGGCCACCAAAUGCGCAGGACGGUAGUUCAAUUUUCUGCGGAUGAGUCCUUGUCGGAUGGAUGGUGACUAAUGAGAUGCAGUUCUUUGUCUCAAUAAUUUUAGUAAAGGGAUUCUGUACAAGGUAAGAUUACCAGGCAUAGCGGCAAUGCAGCUAGCAAGUGCUCCAGGAUUUCAUGUUGCUAGAUUUGCCGCAGAGGCAAAUGCAUGACUUACUUGCUUUUGACUUUCAUAGUGUUCAGAUCUUUUCUUGUGACAAGGAUGCACAAAAUCAAGUUUUUGCCGGCAGUAGUUUCUUUCGCUGUUCAACUGAUCUGUUCCACUGGAACAAGGGGUCCACUGGACUUCUUAUUGUUUCCCAGCCUGAUGUGGUGGCUCGUUGUGUCUGUGGUCGCUUUUGUAUCUAUGUGAGGUCGUAGGGGACGGGUCUGUCCUUACCCCUUACUGGGUUAUUGCUCGACCUUUCGGGGGACUGUUCUGGUCUAGUGCUAUGAAGGGAGUUCUUUUGGAGCUCUGCCUCGUGUUGUUUCAUGAACGCCUAUGAACAAGAUGCUCUACAUGCCAUACGUAAUUUACGAGGUCUACACACUGUCAUUAUGUUGACCAUGUGUGACAAGGGCUAGGCAAAUAUUUAUCAUGUAGAAUGUGUUACCAGUUCUUAGCAUGCACCAAUUAUUUUAUUUUGCGUUUUUAAUGCAUCGCAUGAUUUCUUUUAUAACAAGACACCCUCCAAAGCAAUUCCACAGAGGCAGCGAGAGGUGUUCUCUCUAUACCUGUUUUUCCCCAUAUCUCUGGUUUUGAUUUCCUGAUAUACAGUUUAUAUAAAUACCACAAUAUGCCAGAUAUGAAAGAGAAAAGCGACAGAAGAAUCCAAUGGAAGAAUUUGGUGAAGAACAAGAACAGACUAUGCAUUGGAGGUUCAGAACCAAUUUCUAUGGGUAUGUACAAGCUGUUUUUAUUGCAUCUUGGUUUUAAAUUGGUGAAUUAGCAUAGCAUAUUGAAUGUUGAGCUUUAUUUCAUCUACAAUUGGUUCUGAACAUGUGUGCUUUUAACAAACUUUGUAUUCUUCUCUAUUUUGAAGAGCCCACAAAGAGACAAAAAAAUGGUGAUAGGUUCCUUUCUGUGGUUUAAGAACUCUGGGACUAGGCCAAACUAACUUUGUUGAACGAAUAACUUCCUCAUCUUAAAAUACAUUUGUGUUCGGCUGAUUUCAAGAUAAAUGUUUGAUCAUUGUCAGAUGAUCAACAUAUGGAUGUUAGUGAGAUUCAAGGGAAAGCGCGACACGACUGUGCCUUCUAUAAGCAAAGCUGAGCUGUUGAGGUAAUUGAUCUUUAGGUGCCUUCGAUAAGCACGCGACACAUCUGUAUGUUCUAUUCAUGUGGUUCCUUAUAUAAGUAUAUCUCAGCAAUAUGUGUCUUGUUUUACUUUUGUCCACGGUGACUAUGGCUGCAUUCUUGGCUUCAGUUAUUAUGUUUGAGUGUAAAAUUGGUUUUCUGAACUGAUGAAUAUGCUAAUUCAUCACUUGUCUCAUUUCUUCUUGCAAAUAGUUUCUACUCCAUGUGGAUAUGAGCUGCUAAGUUUUUUCAGUAACAAGUGUCCAUGUAAUUUUCUUUUGCUCGAGGCAGAUCAUAGCUUUUACGGUUUUAGAGGUGUUGCAAUAUUGAUUUCAGUUGUUCUCGUAUAUGGUUUUCAGAUUAUUCUAUCCUCAAGUAUUGGUUUAUUAUUGAGGAAGCCUUAAACGCAGGAGCUGAAUGUUGUUUUUUAUCUUUUGUCAAAGUCCUGAAUGGUCCAAUGAAAAUCUUGGUACGUACAGUUUCAGAGCUUCAUCCCAUUGUAGUAGGGCAAAAUGGUAUGCAGAGUGUUGAAAGCUUCAUUUUGGUCCAUUAGGUAGUUUAUAGCUUUGUCACUGGAGGUCUGACAAUAAUCGCAGCUUGUGAAAAUUAUAUAUGGCCAUGAGUGCUCAAUAGUUCUCCAUGCAACACAGCUAAUUAUUGAAUCUGUAAUACAUGCUUGUUUCUGGCAGAAGCUUAUUUGAUGAAUUAGCAUUGUGUAAAGUCUUUCUAAGCUCACUUCUCUUUUCUUUCUAUAAACUGGACGACCAGGAUAGAUUUCUCAAUACCAUUUUCGGAUUGUUUAAGCACUGAACAAUGUUAACAGGUUUACCAUUUCUCAUCUCUUUAUGAUAUGCGUAGGUAUUCUGGCAUCUCAAUUUGUCCCCAACCUCUUUCACCGGCCCAUAAAUUAUCUGUCUCUAGGUCUCCACAAUUGUAUUUUGGUGCAGAAAAACAAAGAACUAUUUUUGGCUCAGCUACUUUAUAGGUAUCGUGUACGUUGUCAUGGAUUUGAUGUCAUGUAGUUCCAGGUGUAUUAUUAUACUCCCAGUCUUAGUAUUAGAAAAACAAUAACUAUUUUUGCCUCAGCUACUUUAUAGGUAUCA
rnacentral:rRNA from 1 species